rnacentral:rRNA from 1 species
CCACCUGACCCCAUGCCGAACUCAGAAGUGAAACGCCGUAGCGCCGAUGGUAGUGUGGGGUCUCCCCAUGUGAGAGUAGGGAACUGCCAGGU